rnacentral:rRNA from 1 species
CGCUAGCGGCAGGCUUAACACAUGCAAGUCGAGGGGUAACAGGAGUAGCUUGCUAUUUGCUGACGACCGGCGCACGGGUGCGUAACGCGUAUAGAAUCUACCUUGUACUAGGGGAUAGCCUUUGGAAACGAAGAUUAAUACCCUAUAGUAAGUAUUUAUGGCAUCAUUUAUACUUUAAAGGUUACGGUACAAGAUGACUAUGCGUCCUAUUAGUUUGUUGGUGAGGUAACGGCUCACCAAGACUUCGAUAGGUAGGGGCCCUGAGAGGGGGAUCCCCCACACUGGUACUGAGACACGGACCAGACUCCUACGGGAGGCAGCAGUGAGGAAUAUUGGACAAUGGAGGCAACUCUGAUCCAGCCAUGCCGCGUGCAGGAUGACGGCCCUAUGGGUUGUAAACUGCUUUUAUGUAGGAAGAAACACUCUCACGUGUGAGAGCUUGACGGUACUACAAGAAUAAGGACCGG